GAUUUCUGAUGAACCGGAGUGGCCCGUUUCCUUUCAGGGAAUGAGUGCCGCUUUGAGUUUGUCAUCCUUCCAGAGAGCUGCGUCUACCGUUUACUCGGCCGGACGUAUGCGAUCUGGAUCUAUUACUUUGAAAAAAUUAGAGUGUUUAAAGCAGGCUUGCGCUAUGAAUACAUUAGCAUGGAAUAAUAAUUUAGGACUUUGGUCUUAUUUUGUUGGUUUCUAGGACUAAAGUAAUGAUUGAUAGGGACAGUUGGGGGUGCUAGUAUUCAGCGGCCAGAGGUGAAAUUCUUGGAUUCGCUGAAGACUAACUUAUGCGAAAGCAUU
rnacentral:rRNA from 1 species